rfam:Desulfotomaculum gibsoniae DSM 7213, complete genome.
CUGCAUAGUGAUACCUAGCCGCAGACAGCAGGCGCCCUUAAGGGGCUUAAUGGCCAAGUGCCGCCAGCCGAGGCCGGGAGGGUUUAACCUUUUAAGCUUUGCUUAAACGGGCCUCUGGCAUGCUGUCUUGCACCGGAGGCUUUUUUAGUUAUCCG